rnacentral:lncRNA from 1 species
AUGCGGAGACAGAUGGACCGGCAGACGGGAAGAGGGAAGGGGGCGGGGAGCAAGAGACGGCGGGCACCCACACACCAGGCUCCCCCGGCGAUCGGGGCCAAGGCCGGGGAGACAGGACCCCCCCACCCCGGUCCUCAAGCCCCAAGCUCGGAGCCCAAUAAAAAGAGGAACAGAUUGGGGAGGGCAGGAGAGAAGCCCUUCUGUCCCCAUCUCAGAAGCAGACAGACGGAAAAGGCAAACCACAGAAAGGGCAGGGGGUGGGGAGGGGGGCUUCACCGACCGUCUCUUCCCCUCCCCCGCCCGCCCCGCUCCCCGACCGCCCGAGAGAGUCCUCCCCUCCCCCACCCCAGACGCAGACAGACAAAAGGACAGACAGACCCGAGCCCGGACGGCCUCGGGAGGGGGCGGGGGCUGCUCCCCUCCCGCCCCACGCCGGAGCGUCCCGAGCCUGGGCCGGGAGGCGGGGAAGGGGGGGGCUCUUUACCCGGUACCGGGCGCUCCGACCCCCACGCUGGGCCCCGCCUCCGGCCGGCCAGACAGACGGACCACCGGACAAUGGACCCCGGGUUCGCGACUCGGGCCACGCCAGGGCCGGGGCCUCUCCGGGCCGGGGCCGGGGCCAGGCGGGCUCUGGCCGGGCCGUGCGCGGGGAUCCUGCGGGCGGCGCUGCAGACGGACAAAGCCAGCGGCAGACAGACAGACGGAGGGGGGAAAAGAUGGCGACGCGAGCGGCGGGACCGCGCCGCUCGUGCACCCGCCAGCGGGGGGGGGAGGCGCGUGCACGAGCAGGAGCCGCCGGAGCCGCGUCCCCGCCUCCCUCAUCCCCGCUCGCCGCCGCCGGCUCCUCCUCCUCCCCCUCUCCAUGGGCGGGGCCUCCCUCCGGAGCCCCCCCCCUCGGCCUGCCGCCACGCCCUCUGGACCUCUGCUCUCCUCCACAGUCAAGUUCAACCGCAGACCCCACAUUGCUGCCCCACCCCGCCUCAGCCCGCCCCCCAAACCCCAAACCCCAAAGUGCCCGGCUCUUUUCGGCCCCCCUUCCUGCCCGAGCGGACGCGGGGCAGGGGGAGGGGUUGGUGGGUAGGGGGGGAGGGGGCAGAGCCGCGGGUGACUUUGACGUCUCGGCCCUCCCUUCCCCCUCCUUCCUUCCCCUCCCCCCGCCCCGCCCUCAGCUGGGAGCCACGAGGAAGUGGCCCGGAGGGGUGGGGGCUGUCGCCUCUCUUCCCCGCGAGCGGGCUGUCUGUCUGA